AGUCGAGCGAACGGAGAAAGAGCUUGCUCCUUCGACGUUAGCGGCGGACGGGUGAGUAACACGUGGGCAACCUACCUUAUAGUUUGGGAUAACUCCGGGAAACCGGGGCUAAUACCGAAUAAUCUGUUUCACCUCAUGGUGAAACACUGAAAGACGGUUUCGGCUGUCACUUUAGGAUGGGCCCGCGGCGCAUUAGCUAGUUGGUGAGGUAACGGCUCACCAAGGCGACGAUGCGUAGCCGACCUGAGAGGGUGAUCGGCCACACUGGGACUGAGACACGGCCCAGACUCCUACGGGAGGCAGCAGUAGGGAAUCUUCCACAAUGGGCGAAAGCCUGAUGGAGCAACGCCGCGUGAGUGAAGAAGGAUUUCGGUUCGUAAAACUCUGUUGUAAGGGAAGAACAAGUACAGCAGUAACUGGCUGUACCUUGACGGUACCUUAUUAGAAAGCCACCCCUAACUACGUGCCAGCAGCCGCGGUAAUACGUAAGUGGCAAGCGUUGUCCGGAAUUAUUGGGCGUAAAGCGCGCCCAGGUGGUUUCUUAAGUCUGAUGUGAAAGCCCACGGCUCAACCGUGGAGGGUCAUUGGAAACUGGGAGACUUGAGUGCAGAAGAGGAUAGUGGAAUUCCAAGUGUAACGGUGAAAUGCGUAGAGAUUUGGAGGAACACCAGGGGCGAAGGCGACUAUUUGGUCUGUAACUGACACUGAAGCGCGAAA
rnacentral:rRNA from 1 species